rnacentral:sRNA from 1 species
GCUGAACAUGGUGGCGCAUGCCUGUAAUCCCAGAGGCUCUGGAGGCUGAGGCAGGAGGAUCAUGAGUUCAAAGCCAGCCUCAGCAAGAGUGAGGCACUAACAGCUCAGUGAGACCCUGUCUCUA